UCCCCAUACCUAUCUUAAGCUCUCUUCUCAUUCCAAGCUCGAUCAAAACCUCACUAAAACUUCCAUCGCUGCCGUUCUACCACCACCUUAGUGGCCACCCUUCAUCCAACCAUAGCCCAUCAUCACUCCGACCAACGGAGUCCAAAACUCUUGAGAACAUCUGCUCAAUCUCUCACGCAUGAUUGAGGCUCCAAUAGCCCUAGCGCUGCCACCAAACCACCAUCUUGGUGGUGUUUCUCACUCUGACCGUCAACCCAACGACCGAAGAGCCCAUAAACACCCAAGCCACAUAUUUCUUCUUCUCCCAUAUUACCUCUCUUCUAUCGAAGCACUCGAGAACCCAUGACCACCAUACACCUACCGUAAAGUGGCGCUACUCUCAUUCGACCGACACUACCAAAAGUCUUCACGGACGAAGACUCCGACGACAGGAUGCAAGAGGGGUUUUUAUGUUACCUUUGAAGACCGAAGGCUUUUCUGUUUUGGUGAAGAAGACCACUGAUUACUCCCCUGAGGUACAUCAAGCCGUUGCAUGGUUAGACAGCUGGCUUAUGGGACUCGGCUGGCAUCUGGAACAACAAUUGUAAUUUCCACCUGCUGGAUCCAAUACUCAAUCCAUUGGUCCGGGUUUGCUCCCAAAUCGGGUCUCUAUUUAGGUUGAAUAAUGUUGCCUUCUUUGUAACUAUUUUGGCCUUUAAUCCCCCAUUGGACCUUGU